rnacentral:tRNA from 1 species
UCCCUGGUGGCUCAGAGGUUAAAGCGUCUGCCUGCAAUGCGGGAGACCUGGGUUUGAUUCCUGGGUCGGGAA